rnacentral:rRNA from 1 species
CCGGCACGGGUGAGUAACACGUAUCCAACCUGCCGUCUACUCUUGGCCAGCCUUCCUGAAAGGAAGAUUAAUCCAGGAUGGCAUCAUGAGUUCACAUGUCCGCAUGAUUAAAGGUAUUUUCCGGUAGACGAUGGGGAUGCGUUCCAUUAGAUAGUAGGCGGGGUAACGGCCCACCUAGUCAACGAUGGAUAGGGGUUCUGAGAGGAAGGUCCCCCACAUUGGAACUGAGACACGGUCCAA